rnacentral:rRNA from 1 species
GGGAAUUUUCCGCAAUGGGCGAAAGCCUGACGGAGCAAUACCGCGUGAGGGAUGACGGCCUAUGGGUUGUAAACCUCUUUUUUCAGGGAGGAAUAAAUGACGUGUACCUGAAGAAUAAGCACCGGCUAACUCCGUGCCAGCAGCCGCGGUAAGACGGAGGAUGCAAGUGUUAUCCGGAAUCACUGGGCGUAAAGCGUCUGUAGGUGGUUUGAUAAGUCAACUGUUAAAUCUUGAGGCUCAACCUCAAAAUGGCAGUCGAAACUAUUAGACUAGAGUAUAGUAGGGGUAAAGGGAAUUUCCAGUGGAGCGGUGAAAUGCGUAGAGAUUGGAAAGAACACCGAUGGCGAAGGCACUUUACUGGGCUAUUACUAACACUCAGAGACGAAAGCUAGGGUAGCAAAUGGGAUUAGAUACCCCAGUAGUCA